CGGGGGGCAGCAGUGGGGAAUAUUGCGCAAUGGGCGAAAGCCUGACGCAGCGACGCCGCGUGAGGGAUGAAGGUCUUCGGAUUGUAAACCUCUUUCAGCAGGGACGAAGCGAAAGUGACGGUACCUGCAGAAGAAGCACCGGCUAACUACGUGCCAGCAGCCGCGGUAAUACGUAGGGUGCAAGCGUUGUCCGGAUUUAUUGGGCGUAAAGAGCUCGUAGGCGGUUAGACACGUCGGAUGUGAAAACUGGGGGCUCAACCCCCAGCCUGCAUUCGAUACGGUCUGACUAGAGUGUGGUAGGGGUAACUGGAAUUCCUGGUGUAGCGGUGAAAUGCGCAGAUAUCAGGAGGAACACCGAUGGCGAAGGCAGGUUACUGGGCCACCACUGACGCUGAGGAGCGAAAGCGUGGGGAGCAAACAGGAUUAGAUACCCCAGU
rnacentral:rRNA from 1 species